GAGAGAGAGAGAAAGGAGGAGUUAAGGUUUUUAAGAAGAAGAAGGAGGGAGAAACGCCCAAACCCGAGGAGAACUCUCAAUCUUAGAUCUCCUACUAGAGCUACUUAGAGUAUCAAGAGGGGUGGUCUGAACGUUGGAUCGUUUCCGGCAAGAACACGAGGUGAGGAGUCUUGAAGAUUUCGAAGGAAUCGCGCCAAAAAAUCGAGUCGGAAAACAAAAUCGAGAAUCGUCCAACUUCGGUAAGAAAUUGAAUUUUUCUCGAUUUUCGACUUCAUUUAUUAAGCGUUGUGAAUAUAAAAAAAUGCAAUAAAAAUAUAUUUGGAUAGGUGUACUUUAGAUCUUGAAUUCUCGUGAAGGAAUCGAUUUAAUUCGAGUUACGAAUUGGAAAAUAGGAAAAUCCAAAAUAAAUAGGUUGAUGUAGAACCCAACCCGUGCUCUGUGAAGCAAACCGACGACCUGUGGUCCAACCUGAAACCAACCGCCAGCCCCUGUACGAUACGUGUCAUGCCCAAAAAAUUCGAUGGGUAAGUCUAGCUCGCGCGUUGUCUGCGCUGACCGCGCCUACGCCCUGCGCAUGAAGCCCGCGCGUAGGGGAGUGUGCCGGCGCGUGGGAGUUCCCCUGCAAGCGUGUGCAGGCGCGUGAGUGCCCUGUUUUCACCCAUUUUUCGUCCCGAUUCUAGUGCUAUCUACUUUACUGUGAACUAGGUCACUGCAUAGAAAAUUCGUAAUUUUCAGACUUCGUAUGACUGUAAAUCAAGCUUGGGAAGGCACGCGACACUUGUAAGUAACCACACGGAAUUAGGAAGUAAUACUUGUAGGGUGCACUUGGUUUUGCAUGCAUGCUAGAGCAAAUUACUCCUAGGUGGCUAGAUCUGAUAAUCUUCUGUACUUAGGAAAUUAAAUAUAUAUCUGUUGGACUUGCUGCCCUAAUGAGAUUUCAAACCCGAUGUUUGUAUGCU